rnacentral:lncRNA from 1 species
UAUAGAAUUACCAGGUUUAAAAUGAAAAAAUAAUUUACGGGUGAUUCACAGUGAAACUCUUUUAUACAAAGCGAGAACGAAAGUGUAAGUGGGAUACUAUGUAAACGUAUGUAAAACAAUCUAAUGUAGAUUUUAAAAGCAACUUAUUUUUUAGGGUAUAACUCGAGACGCACACGAACAUACGCGUGCACGUCCUUACAACACACUUAGAAUUUUGGGUACACAUGCAUGUGAGGAAAAAAUUCCCGGAUGAGACACGCGAGUUGCGAUCCCAGGAUCGAACUCGCAUGGGCUGCUCGUGCACCCACGUGACUAGCCACCCAAGCUUUGGUCGGU